rnacentral:misc_RNA from 1 species
AAGAACGUCAAUUCAUUUUCAAAAAAACUGUCUUCUUCCUGAAACUUCUCCCUCUGAUAACCUGUGUCCCUUCUCUUGACAACCACUUCACCACCAUCUGGUAGUUUCCCUAUAUAAACAACAAAAGAAAGCGCUAUUCCAAUCCUGUUCUCUAUUGAGAAACCAUUGGUUGCAGCAGCAAGCUGAGCCAGAGUAAGUUCCUCUGCUCUGUUUAGUCUCCUUACAUGUGGGUUUGGCCUUUUUUGUGUAGUAUUUCCUGAGAGUCUAGAAUACAAUAGACCAAAGGCAAAGAUUAUAGGCCAAACUGAUACUUUGAUGGGAAUAUCCGCAUGCAGACAAAAAAAAGCAUAUGAUAUUGCAGCAAAAACGCAUUGAAAAGCAGCACAAGCUAAUCCAAUAAUGUCAGGAAAUG